UCUAUUCUCAAAACUUCUUAUCAUCUACCUUCUGCUCCAAAAAUCCCCAAAAUUUCUAGAUAUUUCACCAUCAUGACUAAUUCCCAAGAUAAUCCAAGAACUCCAGUACCAGUUUUCCCGAACACCUCAUCAUCAAAUCCUCAUAAUGAAACCUCAAAACCCAGAUUCCAUCGCCAUAAAAUAUUAGCCAAAAAAACAGUUGCA
rnacentral:lncRNA from 1 species